rnacentral:tRNA from 1 species
GCUCAGUUGGUUAAACGUCUGACUCUUGAUCUUAGCUCAGGUCAUGGUGUCAGGGUUGUGGGUUCAAGCCCCACAUUGGGCU